rnacentral:rRNA from 1 species
CGAACGGUAACUAAAAAAGGGGGGAGAGUCGUCAGCCUGCACACGGNUNAGCAGCAUCAUCUAUGAAGGCGGCGGCGGACAGUUGAUAGGGUCUUCGUUGAGUAGCUGGCUGCCGGUGGACCGAUAUGAAACUCUUGUUGAUUUUAUGUAAUCUGAGCGUCUUAUUUUAAUAAGUCAAAACUUUCAACAACGGAUCUCUUGGUUCUGGCAUCGAUGAAGAACGCAGCGAAAUGCGAUAAGUAAUGUGAAUUGCAGAAUUCAGUGAAUCAUCGAAUCUUUGAACGCACAUUGCGCCCAUUAGUAUUCUAGUGGGCAUGCCUGUUCGAGCGUCAUUUCAACCCUUAAGCCUAGCUUAGUGUUGGGAAUCUACUUCUCUUAGGAGUUGUAGUUCCUGAAAUACAACGGCGGAUUUGUAGUAUCCUCUGAGCGUAGUAAUUCUUUUCUCGCUUUUGUUAGGUGCUAUAACUCCCAGCCGCUAAACCCCCAAUUUUUUGUGGUUGACCUCGGAUCAGGUAGGAAUACCCGCUGAACUUAAGC